UACGUAGGGUGCGAGCGUUGUCCGGAAUCACUGGGCGUAAAGGGCGCGUAGGCGGCCUGAUAAGUAGGGGGUGAAAUCCUGAGGCUUAACCUCAGGGCUGCCUUCUAAACUGUCAGGCUCGAGCACAGUAGAGGCAGGUGGAAUUCCCGGUGUAGCGGUGGAAUGCGCAGAUAUCGGGAGGAACACCGGUGGCGAAGGCGGUUCUCUGGGCCUUACCUGACGCUGAGGAGCGAAAGCGUGGGGAGCGAACAGG
rnacentral:rRNA from 1 species